rnacentral:misc_RNA from 1 species
AGAAAAAUUAAAUUCGAAAUGACAGAGUUAUAAUCUGAAUCAGAAGUGAUGAUUUGUAUGUGUACUGUUCAGUAUGUUUGAUUGCGAGAGCUAAUUUCGGUUAUAAUUGUAUAAAAUGUACAAAUGCAAAUACAUAUGUAGCUUCUGGUCUAGUAUUUGAUCACGUGAUGGCGAAGCCAGAGUUCAUACAUGACCAUAUGAAAAGCAUCAUGUCUUAUAGGAGGUGCAUUCCACUGGAAGUGCUUCUUAAUCUUUACUAAAUUGUCAUGCAAGGUGACAAAUUCUUCUUGUGUGAUGUUCUUGAGAAUUUGCUUUAGGUCAUAUACAUCCUUCUCCCUCAGUACGACCGCAAACUUACGCCAAUCAAUAAUGUCAUUAAAUGGCAAAUCAUAGUAAUCAGAAAGUAUCACAGGAACACAUCCAUAAUGUAUUGAGUCUGUUAUACGAGCGCUGUUAACCUGGGAACCACCUGGACAUAUGCAGAACUUUGUCCUGUAAAAUCUCUUUUGAUAAACAAGAGGUCCUGUAGCCCUGUUUAUCCUAUUGUUGGAAAUAUCCAAUUCAGUGUCAUUUUCCCACUGACGUGCCAGGAUAACCCUGAUUUUAG